CUUCUCUGUCUGGCUCUAAUUGUGGAGACAAAAAACCCACAUGACUUUUACUCAAUGGACCUCAAUCUAGAGAAGCACUAUGACAUUUGCAAAUUAUUUCUUAAUCGGACUAAGCUACCGAGGAGUGCAGGGAGAGGAGGUAGUGUUCUGGAAAUGGAGGAACAGCUCGGAUGUUAGCUGGCAUAGUCUUCCCAGCAGUUUGCUUUCCCCCAAAAGGCGCACUGGUGUAACUGUCAAACGCAAAAUAAAGCAGAAAAAGCUGAAAGUUGCCGCUAGGAGCACUGGCUCACAGAAACAAUGAGGUCCUUGAACUCUCAGACCUAACAAAACCAUCAUUUACAAUAAGCAAGGACAAUUUGCAGUGGUUAAAGGCAUACAGCCCUUUGGAUUAAAUUGUUAUUCAGUUGUGCACACUAGCACAUGCAUGUGUGGGUGUGCAUGUCCGCAGACACACCUGAAAGCCAACGUGGCUGAAGACUAUUACAACAGUGCACAGCUUUGCAAGACUCCAGUGUUGUAGUAAAUUUUGAAGUCAAUACUUAUUAGCAAGAAAGGAAACACAGUCCGAAAAGGUAAGGAAAUCUUUUGAGGAUGUGAAUACCUUCCUUAAGUUUCAAUUCUAUUCACCGUACAGGUCCCAGAUUCUGCACAUUUCCAGGCAGAAUUUCUGUGUUUCUGAUAGAAUGCCUAAAAAUGAA
rnacentral:lncRNA from 1 species